rnacentral:rRNA from 1 species
GGGCACUCUAUGGAGACUGCCACCUAAAGUGGAGGAAGGUGGGGAUGACGUCAAGUCAGCAUGGCCCUUACGUCCGGGGCUACACACGUGCUACAAUGGCCGGUACAAAGGGUUGCGAAGCCGUGAGGUGGAGCGAAUCUCAAAAAGCCGGCCUCAGUUCGGAUUGAGGCUGCAACUCGCCUCCAUGAAGUCGGAAUCGCUAGUAACCGCAGAUCAGCUACGUUGCGGUGAAUACGUUCCCGGGCCUU